GCAACAGGAACAAACCUCCAUCGAGGAGAGGCUCUCCUGGAGUAUUCACAGAUGUCUCAAUGUUUCUUUUAUGGAUAAAGUUCAAUCUUAAAAAAGGAGUGGACAGGUCUCUGUGCAGUGUGGCAGAUGGUUUUGUACAUGAAAAUAAAGGCAUUAUCAGAAAUCCAGCUAGUCCAGGGCAGAACUACAAUAACAAUGAAAUAUGUCUUUGGUCCAUUCGAGCCGGAGCUGGUAAGCUUGUUCUAAUGGAGUUCCAAGAGUUCGGCCUAGAGGAUGACAAACUGUGCCAAAGCGACCAUGUGACGGUGUAUGUUGAUGGGGACAAUCAAAUAGG